UAACUAUUAAUUUAACAUAAAAUAUUAAUUUUGUAAAUUAAAAAUAAAGAAAACUUUAUAGUUAU
rnacentral:tRNA from 1 species